GGAAAUGCAACUUUGAAAAAAUAUUUUAAAAAUUAUAUUUAUUUGCAUAAUAAGUUGCAACUGGUUGCAAAUGCAGAAAAUGAAUAUACCUGCGGGACCAAUACUAAUAUAACAAAAAAACACAAAAUCAACAAGUAUUGCAAUCAAAAAAUCAACUAAAAUCAAUUCCAGCGCCUCGAAAACUCUCGAUUUCAGAAUCAAAUCCAAUAAUUUACAAAACGAUGUCAAUCCACGAAUGAAUCUCCAUCUCAAUCAAACACGCUACCUUCGAGAUCUCGUGCGAGGAAAUUGUGAUGGCUCAGAUAAGAACAACAGAGGGAGGGGGAAACGAGUUGCAGCGGGGGUAGAAAGGGUUACGGUGUUAUAACAACAGUGAAGGAGCGGCGUCGGAGGUCAGGGAAGAUGACUAUGUGGACUAGAAGGCAGUGGUGGGUUGUGUUUGAAAAAGAGAGAGUGAAGGAGGGCAGAAGGUGGCUAUGCUGAAAGGUGUAUACAUGUGUUGUGCUGUGAACAAAAGGGCGUUGUGUUGUGAACAAAGGUUGAAAAAAAAUAUGGUUGGUUGAUGGUUUCAAGUGGGGUUUAGGCUGCAGGAGAGGAGAAGAGAAGAGAGAACGACUGGAUUAUAGGUGAAGGUAGUAUUUUGACAAUUUAAUUGAUUAUAUGUUAUAAG
rnacentral:lncRNA from 1 species